UUUUUUGAAGAUCGGGUGUCUGCCAUCUACGUCCGGCAGUUCUCUUUCGCAGCUGCCGGCGGACACCGCACAGACGAUAUUUCGAUUAGUGUGCAAAAGAGCCAGUC
rnacentral:sRNA from 1 species